rnacentral:misc_RNA from 1 species
GAUGAAGAACGUAGCGAAAUGCGAUACUUGGUGUGAAUUGCAGAAUCCCGUGAACCAUCGAGUCUUUGAACGCAAGUUGCGCCCGAAGCCAUUUGGUUGAGGGCACGUCUGCCUGGGCGUCACAUAUCGUUGCCCGAUGCCAAUUGCACUGUGAUAGGAAAUUCUAGGGCGAAAGAUGGCUUCCCGUGAGCGUUGUUGCCUCGCGGUUGGUUGAAAAUUGAGUCCUUGGUAGGGUGUGCCAUGAUAGAUGGUGGUCGAGUUUGCACGAGACCGAUCAUGUGUGCGCUCCCCAAAAUAUGGACUCUUUGACCCCACACGCGUCUUUUGACGCUCAUGACGAGACCUCAGGUCAGGCGGGGCUACCCGCUGAGUUUAAGCAUAUCAAUAAGCGGAGGA